GUAAGCAGAAUCACUAACUACAUUUAUGUCUUGAUGAGGAAACGUUUGUAAGGCCAAUAUUAGGGCACCUAACUCUGCCUAUUGGUAGUUUUGAAAUGUUCCUGGAUUUUGUGCUGCCAACUUUACAUGGCAUUUUGCCACACUACAGUCUUUCCUAGUUUCUCCUGAACCAUCUGUAAAGACAGUGGUGGCGUGAAGCAAGGGCUCAGACAAUACACACGGAUUUAACAGGCACAGUUGGUAAACAGUUCAGAGGCUUAGAGGCUGGUAAAUGGAAGCUGAUAAUACCAGUAAAGUCAGCCAUUGCUACUUGCCAAUUAAGAUCACAGCUAACACGGUAUGAAAUUGUUCCUUGUUUACUGGUCGGAAAAGAGAAGCAGGGUCAUAUCUUGAUAAUUGGUCACAACAUUGGUGCCCCUUUAUGAGAAGAGAAGCUAUUAAACCUGCAGUCUUUUGUGUUGAGAGGGGUUAUGAGAUAGGUAAAUAGCACAUAAAAUACAGAAAUGGCCAAAGGUAAAGGCUACCUGCUAAACUAGGGCAUGGAAGGGAUGGCUGUUUUAAGUGUUUUUAUUUUUAAAACCAUAUUUUGGUCCUUGGAAGUCAUUAGAAUGUGACUGCAAGUUGCCAGUAUCUUAAAUCUGCACAGAGUUAGUUAGCUUAAGUAUGGAAAAAGGAAAACCAAAAACAUUUUUAAAAUGUUUUUAGGUGCUGGCCAUUUUUAUGCAUUAGCCUUUAGCUGGAAUGUCUUAGAAGUGAGCUUGGGAAAGUAGGGCUGUGGCCGGUUUUUCUCAUCUGCUUUGGGUGCCUUAGGCAGCCUCUCUUUUUAAUAGCCUGUCACCUGUUGCUGCCCUUAACCGAGAGGAAGGAGGGAAGACUACAAGUAGCAGCAAGAGGCUAGAGAAUGACCAGUUGGUAAAGCGCGUGUGUAAAGGGAGGAGGCAGGCCGUUAUCAGGCUGGGAGAAGACCACUCCCCUCAUCCUCCAGACCACCUACGCUUGGAGCCAAUCCUGUUAGGCAUUCUAUCAAUGGACAAGAGUGAUGUUACAAUUUCCAGCUGUGACUGUAAAACACUGUGAGUUUCUGUUUCAUAUGUUUUAAAGUUCUCGUAUUAGGCACGUAAACCUCCGUAAUUGUAUUUGUUCCUGAUAAAUUGAACAUUUUAUCAUUAUGAAAUACUACUUAUUACCUCUGGAAAUAUUUUUCUUUCAAAGAAUCGGUUGCCUGUGAUAUUAACAUAGCCAUCUCAGCCUUCUUAAGGUUGCUGUAAACAUGAGUUUUUCUGUAGACUUGUUUUCAACUUGUCUCUGUCUUUGUAUUUAAAGGGAAUCAAUGAGAGAUAGCAGAUAGUCAAGUCUUUCAUGUUUUUUUAAUCCUUUCUGAUAAUCACUGACUUUUAAUUGGAGUGCUUAGUCCAUUAAUAUUUAAUGUGAUUAUUGAUACAGUUGUGAUUUAGUUCUGCCCUUUUGCUUUCCAUUUUCUGUUACUUGUUUCUAUUUUUUAGUUAUUUAUUUCCUACAUUCUACUUGAUUACUGCAGUAUUAUUAGAAUUGUUUUAAUGUUACAAUAAGCUUUCCAACUUCACCUUUUACAUUAAUUUUUAGUAGUGGUUCUAGGGAUUAUAAUAUACAUUUUUAAUUUUUCUGUGUAUUUACUGUCAAUACUGUACCAUUUCACAUUUGAUGUAGAAAAUUUCUAACCACCUUUGUGUUACAGUUACAUAUAUCACAAAUACAUAACAUUGUAACCCCCCGGAGACAUAAUAAUGUUUGUUUUAAAUCA
ensembl:lncRNA